rnacentral:snRNA from 1 species
GUCCUUGCAGUGGCAGCACAUGUACUAAAAUUGGAAUGAUACAGAGAAGAUUAGCAUAGCCCCUGUGCAAUCUGCACAAGGAUGACAUUGAGACCACUACU